GACGAACGCUGGCGGCAUGCCUAACACAUGCAAGUCGAACGAGACCUUCGGGUCUAGUGGCGCACGGGUGCGUAACGCGUGGGAACCUGCCCUUAGGUUCGGAAUAACUCCCCGAAAGGGGUGCUGAUACCGGAUAAUGUCUUCGGACCAAAGAUUUAUCGCCUUUGGAUGGGCCCGCGUUGGAUUAGCUAGUUGGUAGGGUAAAAGCCUACCAAGGCGACGAUCCAUAGCUGGUCUGAGAGGAUGAUCAGCCACACUGGGACUGAGACACGGCCCAGACUCCUACGGGAGGCAGCAGUGGGGAAUAUUGGACAAUGGGCGAAAGCCUGAUCCAGCAAUGCCGCGUGAGUGAUGAAGGCCUUAGGGUUGUAAAGCUCUUUUACCCGGGAUGAUAAUGACAGUACCGGGAGAAUAAGCUCCGGCUAACUCCGUG
rnacentral:rRNA from 1 species